rnacentral:rRNA from 1 species
GGCUCAGAUUGAACGCUGGCGGCAGGCCUAGCACAUGCAAGUCGAGCGGUAGAGAGAAGCUUGCUUCUCUUGAGAGCGGCGGACGGGUGAGUAAUGCCUAGGAAUCUGCCUAGUGGUGGGGGAUAACGUCCGGAAACGGACGCUAAUACCGCAUACGUCCUACGGGAGAAAGCGGGGGAUCUUCGGACCUCGCGCCAUUAGAUGAGCCUAGGUCGGAUUAGCUAGUUGGUGAGGUAAUGGCUCACCAAGGCGACGAUCCGUAACUGGUCUGAGAGGAUGAUCAGUCACACUGGAACUGAGACACGGUCCAGACUCCUACGGGAGGCAGCAGUGGGGAAUAUUGGACAAUGGGCGAAAGCCUGAUCCAGCCAUGCCGCGUGUGUGAAGAAGGUCUUCGGAUUGUAAAGCACUUUAAGUUGGGAGGAAGGGCAGUAACCUAAUACGUUAUUGUUUUGACGUUACCGACAGAAUAAGCACCGGCUAACUUCGUG